GAUUGACAGAUAGAUUGAUGGAUUGACAGAUAGAUUGAUGGAUUGACAGAUAGAUUGAUGGAUUGACAGAUAGAUUGAUGGAUUGACAGAUAGAUUGACGGAUUGACAGAUAGAUUGAUGGAUUGACAGAUAGAUUGAUGGAUUGACAGAUAGAUUGAUGGAUUGACAGAUUGAUGGAUUGACAGAUAGAUUGACGGAUUGACAGAUAGAUUGACGGAUUGACAGAUAGAUUGAUGGGUUGACAGAUAGAUUGAUGGGUUGACAGAUAGAUUGAUGGAUUGACAGAUAGAUUGAUGGAUUGACAGGUAGAUUGAUGGAUUGACAGAUAGAUUGAUGGAUUGACAGAUAGAUUGAUGGAUUGACAGAUAGAUUGAUGGAUUGACAGAUAGAUUGAUGGAUUGACAGAUAGAUUGAUGGAUUGACAGGUAGAUUGAUGGAUUGACAGGUAGAUUGACGGAUUGACAGGUAGAUUGAUGGAUUGACAGAUAGAUUGAUGGAUUGACAGAUAGAUUGACGGAUUGACAGGUAGAUUGACGGAUUGACAGGUAGAUUGAUGGAUUGACAGAUAGAUUGAUGGAUUGACAGAUUGA